rnacentral:rRNA from 1 species
UCUGACGACCAUAGCAAGUUGGUCCCACUCCUUCCCAUCUCGAACAGGACAGUGAAACGACUUUCGCGCCGAUGAUAGUGUACAUCCGUAGGUGAAAGUAGGUCAUCGUCAGAU